rnacentral:rRNA from 1 species
GACGAACGCUGGCGGCGUGCUUAACACAUGCAAGUCUAGGGGGCCCGCAAGGGUCACCGGCGAACGGGUGCGUAACACGUGAGCGACCUACCCUGGAAUGGGGGAUAGCCGGCCCAACGGCCGGGUAAUACCGCAUACGCCCUUCGAGCUGCAUGGCUUGGAGAGGAAACCUCUUGGGUUCCUGCAGGGGCUCGCGGCCAAUCAGCUAUUUGGUGAGGUAACGGCUCACCAAGGCAAUGACGGGUAGCUGGUCUGAGGGGAUGGCCAGCCACAUUGGGACUGAGAAACGGCCCAGACUCCUACGGGAGGCAGCAGUGGGGAAUAUUGCGCAAUGGUCGAAAGACUGACGCAGCGACGCCGCGUGGAGGAUGACGCCCUUCGGGGUGUAAACUCCUGUUGCUCGGGACGAACCUCCCCAUUCGUGGGGACUGACGGUACCGGGUGAGGAAGCACCGGCUAACUCUGUGCCAGCAGCCGCAGUAACAC